UACGGGGGGAGCAAGCGUUGUUCGGAUUUACUGGGCGUAAAGGGCGCGUAGGCGGCCACCGCAAGUCGGUUGUGAAAUCUCUGGGCUUAACCCAGAAAGGUCAACCGAUACUGCGGGGCUAGAGUGCAGAAGGGGCAACUGGAAUUCUCGGUGUAGCGGUGAAAUGCGUAGAGAUCCGGAGGAACACCAGAGGCGAAGGCGGCAACCUGGCUCGUAACUGACGCUCAUACACGACAGCAUGGGGAGCGAACGGG
rnacentral:rRNA from 1 species